AUUGAACGCUGGCGGCAGGCCUAACACAUGCAAGUCGAGCGGGGUUUUCGGACCUAGCGGCGGACGGGUGAGUAAUGCGUAGGAAGCUACCCGAUAGAGGGGGAUACCAGUUGGAAACGACUGUUAAUACCCGCAUAAAUGUCUACGGACCAAAGUGUGGGACCUUCGGGCCACAUGCUAUCGGAUGCGCCUACGUGGGAUUAGCUAGUUGGUGAGGUAAUGGCUCACCAAGGCGACGAUCUCUAGCUGGUUUGAGAGGAUGAUCAGCCACACUGGAACUGAGACACGGCCCAGACUCCUACGGAGGCAGCAGUGGGGAAUAUUGGACAAUGGGCGAAAGCCUGAUCCAGCAAUAGCCGCGUGAGUGAUGAAGGCCUUAGGUUGUAAAGCUCUUUACCCGAGAUGAUAAUGACAGUAU
rnacentral:rRNA from 1 species